rnacentral:rRNA from 1 species
CCUACGGGAGGCAGCAGUGGGGAAUAUUGGGCAAUGGGCGCAAGCCUGACCCAGCAACGCCGCGUGAAGGAAGAAGGCUUUCGGGUUGUAAACUUCUUUUCUCAGGGACGAAGCAAGUGACGGUACCUGAGGAAUAAGCCACGGCUAACUACGUGCCAGCAGCCGCGGUAAUACGUAGGUGGCAAGCGUUAUCCGGAUUUACUGGGUGUAAAGGUCGUGUAGGCGGUAAAGCAAGUCAGAUGUGAAAACCAUGGGCUCAACCUGUGGCCUGCAUUUGAAACUGUUUUUCUUGAGUACUGGAGAGGCAGACGGAAUUCCUAGUGUAGCGGUGAAAUGCGUAGAUAUUAGGAGGAACACCAGUGGCGAAGGCGGUCUGCUGGACAGCAACUGACGCUGAGGCGCGAAAGCGUGGGGAGCAAACAGGAUUAGAUACCCGAGUAGUC